rnacentral:lncRNA from 1 species
AAUUUCGAGAAAAUCCAAAAAUACAUGUUUUAUAUGUAUUUAUGUGUUAUUUUCUUUUGUUGGAAAGAAAGAUUGGAUUGUGUCGUGAAUCCGUGGUCGAUCGAGGUAAAACGAAAUCGCAGCUUUGUUGUCUCCGUCGUGCCGAACGCAAUGGCGCUGUCGGAUCGAAAAUUCGACGGACGAAUUUUCGGGAAACGCAAAAUGUUCGCUGAGGGGUCGAAGGUGGCAAAUCGGAAUUUUCGCAAAAGU